rnacentral:rRNA from 1 species
GACGAACGCUGGCGGCGUGCUUAACACAUGCAAGUCGAACGGAAAGGCCCUGAUCUUGCGGGGCGCUCGAGUGGCGAACGGGUGAGUAACACGUGAGUAACCCGUCCCUGACAUUGGGAUAACUUCAGGAAACUGCGGCUAAUAUCGGAUAGGAGCUCUUGCUGCACGGUGGGGGUUGGAAAGUUUCGGCGGUUGGGGCUGGACUCGCGGCUUAUGAGCUGGAUGGUGGGGUAGUUGCUUACCAAGGUUUUGACGGGUAGCCGGCCUGAGAGGGUGGCCGGCCACAUUGGGACUGAGAUACGGCCCAGUCUCCUACGGGAGGCAGCAGUCGGGAAUAUUGCACAAUGAGCGGAAGCCUGAUGCAGCAGCGCCGCGUGCGGGAUGACGGCCUUCGGGUUGUAAACCGCUUUCGCCUGUGACGAAGCGUGAGUGACGGUAAUGGGUAAAGAAGCACCGGCUAACUACGUG